AACGUAGGUGGCGAGCGUUAUCCGGAUUUACUGGGCGUAAAGCGUGUGCAGGCGGGGAGAUAAGUGGUGUAUUAAAUCGCCCAGCUUAACUGGGCAAGGUUAUGCCAGACUGUCACUCUAGAGUGCGAGAGAGGGGCGUGGAAUUCCGGGUGUAGUGGUGAAAUGCGUAGAGAUCCGGAGGAACCCCAGAGGCGAAGGCGGCGCCCUGGCUCGCAACUGACGCUCAGACACGACAGCAUGGGGAGCGAACGGG
rnacentral:rRNA from 1 species